AGCAGCAUUGGGCUAUUUAUUAAUCCUAUAAUUAGACAUGGCCUAGGAGGGCUAGGCCAGGUCCUAAAAAAUAAAUGAUGUAUAAUAUUAAUAAUGAGUAAGCCUAGGCCUGUAAUAUAUGACAUACUGUACCUAGGCCUAAGUUAGUAAAUAGUCAUUGAUUUUACUUUUUCAGAUUAACGUUCAAUACUCUAUCCACUACAACUGCAAGUUCUGGAUUCAACUCUCCAACAGCUUUUUGCAUAUGGACAACAAACACCAGGAGCAAUACCCAUUGUUGUAGGUUUUCAAGAUAGGCUGAUUUGUACUGGAGCACCAUUGACCACACCAGCGGAUCAAGAAUCAGCAACAAACAAGAUCAAGAGAUGGGAUGAAGAAUGGACAAUGAUUCAGUAAAAGAGAUGCUCAAUUCAAAUAUUUUUAGCUACAAAUAUAAUUCGAAGAGCCGAGGUUUGCGAUUAGUCCAAUCAAAGCGACAACGGACUGAAAUUUAUUACCAUGAAUUCUUUUAUGUCCAUUUUACUUAAUUCUUUGCGACUGUACAGGUCUACAAACGGGUCGAACCGUCCCAUCUAUGAACCCCCCCACCCAACAGUUGUUGAGCGGUGCGCCCUUAGUUUGAAUAACAUUACAAAAUUCUUGAAGCUUACCUGGAGCAAGUCAUGGCUGUUGGAGGGUUUCCAAAAGAUGGUUACAAUUGUCGUAAAUAAUGAUAUCCAAGAUUUUGGACGUUGCCAAAAUCAACUCUGUUACUGACCGAGUAUCAACAUGGAUACGCAAAACGAUAAAAAAAACAUACAAAAUGCCUCGAUUCCAUCAAAUACGGAUCCACUUUUGCAUCGCACUUCAUGCGGAAUACUUAAAACAUCAUAAAGUUGAUAAAUGUCCUUUUCAAAUCUUGAAUUAAAUAAUUUUAUUUUGUAUAUAUAUAUUAAUGUUAAGUGUAUAUAUAUAUAUAUAUAUAUAUAUAUAUAUACAGGUAUAUUGAUAUUGGCUUGUGUGUGAGGAGCUAAAGCGGCAGAGGCAUAUUCAAGAGUGGGUCUAACGAAGGUGGUGUAGCCUUGUGCCUUAAAGACCGUCUGACAAGCUGAAUUAUAAUGACUUAUAUCAUAAGAAAAUAUACAAAUAUAUAUUUGUAUGUAUGUAUGUAUAUGAUAAUAAUAAUAAUAUAUCAAUGCGAUAUAUAAUUACAUGUUCUAACUGGACUCUGUACAUAGGAUGUAUACAUUGUGCCUGUAUUUAACAUUUUUCAAUCAUUGUCAAUCUAAAGUCAGAGUUAUGUCCUGGUUUCGACCCUUUAACUUCACUAUUGGAUAGGCUUAUCUUCAUAAGACCUCUAUGAAUAAUUACUGUAGUGUGUAGUGUUAUAAUUGCUAUGUGCUUGUUUGUAAAUUUGACAUUUUGGUAAAAUUAAUGAAUAAUUGACACACUGCCUUAAUUCAACUUUUAUUAUUUAUUUAUUAUUAAAUUGUAUUUAUAAUAUUUUAUUGAUGGAUGCUUAAUAUAAUUUUAUCUGGUGGUCAUGGCUUAAAGUUUGAUUCUAAACUUAUUUUGGCCUCUUAA
rnacentral:lncRNA from 1 species